rnacentral:lncRNA from 1 species
GUUUAUUCUUUAGUUUUCUAUGUUGUGUUAUGUGUGCUAUUGUUUGUCUGUUUGUCCUUUUCAUUUUUAGCCAUGUCGUUGUCAGUUUAUUGUCGAUUUAUGAGUUUGACUGUCCCGCUGGUAUCUUUCGUCCCCCUUUUAAUGCGAACGUAUAGAGGCUUUGAGUUUUUUAAAACCCAAAUAUGUUACGCUACAUUUCAGUAAUAUUUUAUGCAUGUAUUAAAGUGC